CCUACGGGAGGCAGCAGUGGGGAAUUUUGGACAAUGGGCGAAAGCCUGAUCCAGCAAUGCCGCGUGUGGGAAGAAGGCCUUCGGGUUGUAAACCGACUUUUGUACGGAACGAAACGGUUCGCUUUAAUACAGUGGGCUAAUGACGGUACCGUAAGAAUAAGCACCGGCUAACUACGUGCCAGCAGCCGCGGUAAUACGUAGGGUGCGAGCGUUAAUCGGAAUUACUGGGCGUAAAGCGUGCGCAGGCGGUUUUAUAAGACAGUUGUGAAAUCCCCGGGCUCAACCUGGGAAUUGCAUCUGUGACUGUAUAGCUAGAGUACGGUAGAGGGGAUGGAAUUCCGCGUGUAGCAGUGAAAUGCGUAGAUAUGCGGAGGAACACCGAUGGCGAAGGCAAUCCCCUGGACCUGUACUGACGCUCAUGCACGAAAGCGUGGGGAGCAAACAGGAUUAGGAUACCCUGGUAGUCCACGCCCUAAACCGAUGUCAACUGGUUGUUGGGUGUCAUAGUACUCUAGUAACGUAAGACUACGACGUGUAGUGACGCGNGGAGACGCGCGAGUAGUAACGUACGAAUUAGAGUAGUUAGNGUGNGAGNGCGACGGACGACGACGAGGGAGGAGG
rnacentral:rRNA from 1 species